AACGAACGCUGGCGGCAGGCUUAACACAUGCAAGUCGAACGCACCUUUCGGGGUGAGUGGCAGACGGGUGUGUAACGCGUGGGAAUCUACCCUUCUCUACGGGAUAGCUCCGGGAAACUGGAAUUAAUACCGUAUACGUCCUGAGGGAGAAAGAUUUAUCGGGGAAGGAUGAGCCCGCGUUGGAUUAGCUAGUUGGUGGGGUAAAGGCCUACCAAGGCGACGAUCCAUAGCUGGUCUAAGAGGAUGAUCAGCCACAUUGGGACUGAGACACGGCCCAAACUCCUACGGGAGGCAGCAGUGGGGAAUAUUGGACAAUGGGCGCAAGCCUGAUCCAGCCAUGCCGCGUGAGUGAUGAAGGCCCUAGGGUUGUAAAGCUCUUUCAGUGGGGACGAUAAUGACGGUACCCACAGAAGAAGCCCCGGCUAACUUCGUG
rnacentral:rRNA from 1 species